rnacentral:rRNA from 1 species
GCAUAUCAAUAAGCCGGAGGAAAAGAAAACUAACAAGGAUUCCCCAGUAACCGGCGAGUGAAGAGGGAACAGCCCCAAAUUUGUAAUCUGGCCCUUUUGGGGUCCGAGUUGUAAUCUCGAGAACUGUUUUCCGUGCCGGACCAUGUACAAGUCUGUUGGAAUAUAGCUUCAUAGAGGGUGAGAAUCCCGUACAUGACAUGGACCACCGGUGCUUUGUGAUACAGUCUCUAAGAGUCGAGUUGUUUGGGAAUGCAGCUCAAAUUGGGUGGUAAAUUCCAUCUAAGGCUAAAUAUUGGCGAGAGACCGAUAGCGAACAAGUACCGUGAGGGAAAGAUGAAAAGCACUUUGGAAAGAGAGUUAACAGUACGUGAAAUUGUUGAAAGGGAAACGCUUGAAGUCAGCCUUGUUCUUGGUUGUUCAGCCUUAGGGCGUAUUCAACUUUGAGCAGGCCAGCAUCAGUUUUGGGUGCCGGAUAAGGGCUUAGGAAAUGUGGCAGCUUCGGCUGUGUUAUAGUCCUUUGCUUGAUACGGUGCCUGGGACUGAGGAACGCAGCGAGCCUUUUGGCGGGUCCCCUCGGGGGCCUUCUCGCUUUGGAUGCUGGCGUAAUGGCUUUAAACGACCCGUCUUGAAACACGGACCAAGGAGUCUAACAUGCUUGCGAGUAUUUGGGUGGCAAACCCGGAUGCGUAAUGAAAGUGAAUGAAGGUGGGAACCGCAAGGUGCACCAUCGACCGGUCCGGAUUUUUAAUGAUGGAUCCGAGUAAGAGCAAGUACGUUGGGACCCGAAAGAUGGUGAACUAUGCCUGAAUAGGGUGAAGCCAGAGGAAACUCUGGUGGAGGCUCGUAGCGGUUCUGACGUGCAAAUCGAUCGUCGAAAUUUGGGUAUAGGGGCCGAAAGACUAAUCGAAACCAUCUAGUAGCUGGAUCCUGCGAG